CACGUAGGGUGCGAGCGUUGUCCGGAAUUAUUGGGCGUAAAGAGCUCGUAGGCGGUGUGUCGCGUCGGCCGUGAAAACCUGCAGCUUAACUGUGGGCUUGCGGUCGAUACGGGCAUCACUGGAGUUCGGCAGGGGAGACUGGAAUUCCUGGUGUAGCGGUGAAAUGCGCAGAUAUCAGGAGGAACACCGGUGGCGAAGGCGGGUCUCCUGGGCCGAUACUGACGCUGAGGAGCGAAAGCGUGGGGAGCGAACAGG
rnacentral:rRNA from 1 species